rnacentral:rRNA from 1 species
AUAGAACGCUGGCGGCAUGCUUUACACAUGCAAGUCGAACGGUAACAGGGUGCUUGCACCGCUGACGAGUGGCGAACGGGUGAGUAAUGCGUCGGAACGUGCCGAGUAGUGGGGGAUAACGCAGCGAAAGUUGUGCUAAUACCGCAUACGUACUGAGGUAGAAAGUGGGGGACCUUCGGGCCUCACGCUAUUCGAGCGGCCGACGUCGGAUUAGCUAGUAGGUGAGGUAAAGGAUCACCUAGGCGACGAUCAGUAGCGGGUCUGAGAGGAUGGUCCGCCACACUGGGACUGAGACACGGCCCAGACUCCUACGGGAGGCAGCAGUGGGGAAUUUUGGACAAUGGGCGAAAGCCUGAUCCAGCCAUGCCGCGUGUCUGAAGAAGGCCUUCGGGUUGUAAAGGACUUUUGUCGGGGAGGAAAUCCCCAGCGCUAAUACCGCUGGGGGAUGACAGUACCUGAAGAAUAAGCACCGGCUAACUACGUGCCAGCAGCCGCGGUAAAAC